rnacentral:hammerhead_ribozyme from 1 species
GUACUGCUGAUGAGUCCCAAACAGGACGAAACAGCUGUCCAGUGC